CCUGCCCCUAGAAGCAUUGCAGGCCUGGCUGCUGUGUGACAUAUGUGUCAGUAAGUGGCAGAGAGGAGAGAGGCUAUGACUACUCUCAGUGUUCUGACCUGUGAACAUCUGAAUGAUUAGUAGCCUAACAUU